UGAGAUUUAAAGAGAGACCAGCUGGAAUGCUACAGUGAGAAGAGUUCGCGCUUCUACCAAGAGAGGCGAGGUCACAAGAUAACCAAGUUAACUGAAUUCCAAAGAGUGACAAUCCCCUCUGCAGAGAAGCAGAAGUGUUUUGCCUUUGAGAGAGCAUGUGCGGAACUAUCAUAAAGGUUUCCUCUCGGUGUUCCCAGGAAAGAUGAGGCAUAGGGCAGAAGAGUCAAGAGAGUCCCUACUCAUGGAACAAGUGUGCGAUCUACCGGACUGGUGGUAGAGGAAAAUGUGGGAAACGCUGCCUGCUUCCCCAGACUCCUCUUUCAUAUGAAGCAAAAGUCCUAUACCACUUGGGUAGACGAAGCAAACCCUUGUGCAAAGAUCCACUUCUGGAAGGAAAAGGGAGAAACAACAGCUUGCUCUUGAGAACAACACAGUGAGACCUCUUGGGCUCCGAUUCUGAUAAAAGUCAGAGGUCUGCUGCCACUGCAGGGAGAGCAAGAAAAUAUGAGCACUACUGGAUUAAUAAAUAGAAGAAGAAAGAUAACACUUGGCAAAAAAUAUGUACGUGGGUGUCAUUAAAGAAGAAACUUGGGAUCCCUGGGUGGCUCAGCGGUUUGGCGCCUGCCUUUGGCCCAGGGCACGAUCCUGGAGUGUCGGAUCGAGUCCCACGUCAGGCUCCCGGAAUGGAGCCUGCUUCU